UGCGCGUAAAUUGCCCGAAUCCUGACACAGGGAGGUAGUGACAAGAAAUAACAAUACAGGGCUACUUCUAGUCUUGUAAUUGGAAUGAGUACAACUUACAUCUCUUCACGAGGAUCAAUUGGAGGGCAAGUCUGGUGCCAGCAGCCGCGGUAAUUCCAGCUCCAAUAGCGUAUAUUAAAGUUGUUGCAGUUAAAAAGCUCGUAGUCGGAUUUCGGGGCGGGCGCGAGCGGUCUGCCGAUGGGUAUGCACUGUUGGGCGCGUCCUUCUUUCCGGAGACCGCGCCUACUCUUAGCUGAGCGGGCGCGGGAGACGGAUCGUUUACUUUGAAAAAAUCAGAGUGUUUCAAGCAGGCAGCUCGCUCUUGCAUGGAUUAGCAUGGGAUAAUGAAAUAGGACUCUGGUGCUAUUUUGUUGGUUUCGAACACUGGAGUAAUGAUUAACAGGGACAGUCAGGGGCACUCGUAUUCCA
rnacentral:rRNA from 1 species